rnacentral:lncRNA from 1 species
AGAGCGCGUGUGGCGGCCGAGCACAUGGGCCCGCGGGCCGGGCGGGCUCGGGGCGGCCGGGACGAGGAGGGGCGACGACGAGCUGCGAGCAAAGAUGUGCCCCGGGACCCCCGGCACCUUCCAGUGGAUUUCCUUGCGGAAAGGAUGUUGGCGGUCCCUGUGACCUGUGGAGACACGGCCAGAUCUGCCCUCCAGCCUGAUCUUUUGGCCAGAAGGAGAUUAAAAAGAUGCCCCUCAAGAUGGCUGUGCCUGUCAGCUGCAUGGAGCUUCGUUCAAGUAUUUUCUGAGCCUGAUGGAUUUACAGUGAUCUUCAGUGGUCUGGGGAAUAACGCUGGUGGAACCAUGCACUGGAAUGACACACGCCCGGCACAUUUCAGGAUACUAAAAGUGGUUUUAAGGGAGGCUGUGGCUGAAUGCCUCAUGGAUUCUUACAGCUUGGAUGUCCAUGGGGGACGAAGGACUGCAGCUGGCUGAGAGGGUUGAGAUCUCUGUUUACUUAGAUCUCUGCCAACUUCCUUUGGGUCUCCCUAUGGAAUGUAAGACCCCGACUCUUCCUGGUGAAGCAUCUGAUGCACGUUCCAUCCGGCGCUCAGCUGGGCUUGAGAAUCAAGAGAUGCAUAUGCAGGUUUGUUACAGAGGUAUAUGGGAUGCGGUUGAAGUUUGGAGUAUGAUUGAACUCAU